GGUUUCCACUUUCUUUUUAAAAUGCAAGGCUAAAAGUUUCUGCCUUUUUCUCCACAUGCCCUUCAGGACUACCAGUCUUGGAAUCUCCUGCAGGUUUUUUUCUCCCUCCUGUUGCCUUCUUCCCUCUAUACCCUGUGUUGCCUCACAACUCCGAGCUACUCUGCCCCUUGAACUUAUUAUUUUGCCACAUCCCAGUCAGUCCUGACCUCUUGAAGAGCAGAACAUGAUAUUUGUGCUCUGUUUUUGAUGUUGGUCACUGCUACAGCCAAAGAGACAUGUCAUGCACAGCUGUGGUUGGUGAAGAACUUGUGCACAUGCUGGUGUUUUGGAGUAGCAAACAGGCAAGGGAAUUGCAGCUGGUGCUUUGAUUGACAUGGCUAAACAGAGGAAAAGAAUGGUGAAACAUAUCUCAGAUGAACACAGGUCAUAGGACAGCAAGCUGUAUGAAUAGAAAUGAGUGGAACAAGCAAUACCUGUCCAUGGCAGGAUUCCAAGGUGGGAUGUGAGAGCUACUGAGAUGCGAGAAGUCAGAAAAACACAUUGGCUGUGUGAAUAGACUGAAAGACUAUCCCUUAGGAUGCAGUCUGGACCACAUGGCAGAAAGGCAUGUUAGCUUUUGGUCAAUCUGAUAUAAAUCAAGUUGUGAAUGAACUUGCCUAUUCUUCUGCUAUGAAAUCCACUAUUUAAAUUGAACAUGGAUGUUUGGAUCCAGGUCCAUGAUCUGACAUGGCAGGGCUGCAGGAUCUCUGACAUGCAGCAUUGUCUUCUCUUCACUGACUGCUCACUGUCCAAGUCACUUGGGCUUGCUCUUUCCAGCUUGCCAGUGAAUUGUUGCACUGUCUCCUGCAUCAAACACAGCCUGUGAACAUACUGUGGGAAGCCAGAUGCCUUGAGGUUACUUCCUUCCUGCCCUGGGAUAUGUGUCAGCUUCACAUGGUAUACUUUAACAUCUUGAACACCUGGGAGUAUUAAAAUCUGAGAUAAAUUUAAGAUUAAAUUAGCAUCAAGACUAUUCAUAUAUAUGUAUAUGUAUGUGCAUGUCUGAGUAUUUGUAAAUAUAUGCAUACAUGUUGAUGAGUGUAACAAUGUAUUACAUAUUAAAAUAACUUUUACAUAUUGAAAUAGAUUUUAAAGAUAUUCUUAUCUUGGUAUUCAUGAAACCCAUUAGGCUCUUUUGACAUUAUUUCUUUAUUAUCCUCACUCCCAAGUUGCUUUUAAAUGCAACCUAUUUUCUCUCUAUACUGCUAUUUAGCUGAUUUAUUAUAACUCAUCUUCUUUUCCUUGGAAGUUGCUGAUCAAGGGCUAAAGCACUAAAGAAGGUGAAGGUAAGAAUGUCUCCCCAA